AUACGGAGGGGGUUAGCGUUGUUCGGAAUUACUGGGCGUAAAGCGCACGUAGGCGGACUGGAAAGUUGGGGGUGAAAUCCCGGGGCUCAACCCCGGAACUGCCUCCAAAACUUCCAAUCUAGAGAUCGAGAGAGGUGAGUGGAAUUCCAAGUGUAGAGGUGAAAUUCGUAGAUAUUUGGAGGAACACCAGUGGCGAAGGCGGCUCACUGGCUCGAUACUGACGCUGAGGUGCGAAAGCGUGGGGAGCAAACAGGAUUAGAAACCGUAGUAGUCC
rnacentral:rRNA from 1 species